rnacentral:ncRNA from 1 species
UAAAAAUUUAUGAUUUAAAAAAUUUAUUUUAAAUUUAAUUUACAUGUAAAUUUUUGUAUGAAUUUUAUUGUAUUUUAAAAAUAUAAUAAAUAAUUUAACAGUAAUUAAAAUUAAAAAUUUAAGAAAUUAAGAUUUAGAAAUAUAAAAAUUAAAUAACAAAUUUUGUGCCAGCAGUUGCGGUUAUACAAAAAUUUAAAUAAAUUAUAUUAAUAAAAAUAAAUAAUUAUAGUAAAAUAAAUUAAAUUUAGAAUUAUUAAGUGAAAUUUUAAUUUUAUAAAAAUUUAUAUAUUAAUUAUGAAUUUAAAAAUUUUAUUAAUAAACUAGGAUUAGAUACCCUAUUAUAAAAAAUUAAUUAAAAAUAUUAAAAUAGUAAAUAAUUAUUUAUUAAAACUUAAAUAAUUUGGCGGUAUUUUAGUUCAUUUAGAGGAAUCUGUCUAUUAAUUGAUAAUCCACGAAUAAUUAUAUUUAAUUUAAAAUUUUAUAUAUCGUUGUUAAAAAAAUAUUUUAUAAAAAGAAUAAUAUUUUAAAAUUUAAAAUUAAAACUAAUUCAGAUCAAGAUGUAGAUAAUAAUUAAAUUUAAGAUGGAUUACAAUAUAAUUAUAUAAAAAUGGAAAAUAAUUUUGAAAUAAUUAUUAGAAAGUGGAUUUAAAUGUAAUUUUAAAUAAUUUUUUAAAAUGAUUGAAAAUUAAAAUAUGUACAUAUUGCCCGUCACUUUCAUUUAAAAAUUGAAAUAAGUCGUAACAAAGUAGGGGUACUGGAAAGUGUUCCUAGAAAGAC